rnacentral:rRNA from 1 species
AACGAACGCUGGCGGCAUGCCUAACACAUGCAAGUCGAACGAGACCUUCGGGUCUAGUGGCGCACGGGUGCGUAACGCGUGGGAACCUGCCCUUAGGUUCGGAAUAACUCCCCGAAAGGGGUGCUAAUACCGGAUAAUGUCUUCGGACCAAAGAUUUAUCGCCUUUGGAUGGGCCCGCGUUGGAUUAGCUAGUUGGUAGGGUAAAAGCCUACCAAGGCGACGAUCCAUAGCUGGUCUGAGAGGAUGAUCAGCCACACUGGGACUGAGACACGGCCCAGACUCCUACGGGAGGCAGCAGUGGGGAAUCUUGGACAAUGGGCGAAGGCCUGAUCCAGCAAUGCCGCGUGAGUGAUGAAGGCCUUAGGGUUGUAAAGCUCUUUUACCCGGGAUGAUAAUGACAGUACCGGGAGAAUAAGCCCCGGCUAACUCCGUG